CACCCGUAGUCCGUUAUCGUCU
rnacentral:miRNA from 1 species